ensembl:ncRNA T23E1.7 ncRNA
UGGUACAAUAGUGGUACGGUAGGAAUACUGUAGGGUUACGGUAGUUUCAGAAAAAUUAAUUUUCAGCCCCAGAAGUCGGAGGCCGCGCCGAAGGUGCGGUCCACGGCUGGUAUAUAUAUAAUCAAAAAGGGCGCCGGUGCCAACAACGUU